CAAGAUAUUGGGUAUUUCUGUC
rnacentral:miRNA from 1 species